GACGAACGCUGGCGGCGUGCUUAACACAUGCAAGUCGAACGAUGAAGGAGAGCUUGCUCUCCGGAUUAGUGGCGAACGGGUGAGUAACACGUGACUAACCUGCCCCUUUCUCUGGGAUAACGCUCCGAAAGGAGUGCUAAUACCGGAUACGAACUCUGAACACAUGUUCGGAGUUGGAAAGUUUUUCGGAAAGGGAUGGAGUCGCGGCCUAUCAGCUUGUUGGUGAGGUAACGGCUCACCAAGGCGACGACGGGUAGCCGGCCUGGGAGGGCGACCGGCCACACUGGGACUGAGACACGGCCCAGACUCCUACGGGAGGCAGCAGUGGGGAAUAUUGCACAAUGGGCGAAAGCCUGAUGCAGCGACGCCGCGUGAGGGAUGAAGGUCUUCGGAUUGUAAACCUCUUUCAGUAGGGACGAAGCGAAAGUGACGGUACCUAAAGAAGAAGCACCGGCUAACUACGUGCCAGCAGCCGCAGUAA
rnacentral:rRNA from 1 species